rnacentral:rRNA from 1 species
UACGUAGGGUGCAAGCGUUGUCCGGAAUUAUUGGGCGUAAAGAGCUCGUAGGCGGUCUGUCACGUCGGAUGUGAAAACUCGGGGCUCAACCCCGAGCCUGCAUACGAUACGGGCUGACUUGAGUUCGGCAGGGGAGACUGGAAUUCCUGGUGUAGCGGUGAAAUGCGCAGAUAUCAGGAGGAACACCGGUGGCGAAGGCGGGUCUCUGGGCCGAUACUGACGCUGAGGAGCGAAAGCGUGGGGAGCGAACAGG